rnacentral:lncRNA from 1 species
AUACUUACUUACGUGAUAAAGUUGCAAUCCAAUAAAAAUACAAGCAAGGGUAUUAGAAAUUAAUACCAAGACAAUCUCUAUAUCCAUUCUCCAAAUAGAAUCAGAGGCUUGUUUAAUGUAAAUUGCAUGUGAAGAUGUCUGCAGCUUCCCAAAAUAAAGAGGAUCUUCCUUCCCCCGCGUACUUUCAAUGAUUCCCUUGAUAUCAGCUACACCUUUUGAAUUCA